rnacentral:rRNA from 1 species
GAUGAACGCUAGCGGCAGGCCUAAUACAUGCAAGACGAACGGUAAGUUGAGUAGCAAUACUUAGCCAAGAGUGUCGUACGGGUGCGUAACACGUAUGCAACCUACCCUAUACAGGAGGAUAGCCUAGGGAAACCUGGAUUAACCCUUCAUAGUAUUAUUGGAUGGCAUCAUUUGAUAAUUAAAACUGAGGUGGUAUAGGAUGGGCAUGCGUCUGAUUAGUUAGUUGGCGGGGUAAUGGCCCACCAAGACGAUGAUCAGUAGGGGUUCUGAGAGGAAGAUCCCCCACACUGGCACUGAGAUACGGGCCAGACUCCUACGGGAGGCAGCAGUAGGGAAUAUUGGUCAAUGGAUGCAAGUCUGAACCAGCCAUGCCGCGUGCAGGAAGAAGGCCUUCUGGGGUUGUAAAACUGCUUUUGCCAGGGGAUAAAAUUUCCAUGCGUGGAAAACUGAAGGUACCUGGUGAAUAAGCCACGGCUAACUACGUGCCAGCAGCCGC